AGCUGGAGAGGGGUCCUCGGCCGCCCGGCGGCCGUGGAUCCGGGAGCCCCCGGCGGCCUGCUCGCCAAGGCGGCGAGGGCGGCGCCGCCGGGUCUCGGGUUCCGGGUGGAGCGAGGAACCUUCGAAUGUUCAGAUACGGUGGAGGAAUGCAGCAGAGCAAUGUGGAAGCAGAGAUCAGCUCUCUCUCCUGACCCUGUGUGCGAAUCAAACUGAAGUAUGCAAUGAUAAUAUGUGACUUAUAAUUAUCAUGAAGAUUUUCAUAUCAACAGAUUUCCCCAUUGACCUUAUCCUACAGAGUGAAGUCUGAUUCGUCUAGGAGGUGCCCCCAAGGACACCUGGUUGGAGAAGGAUUCAUCCUCUAGUCUGAGAGCACUGACCCUAU